rnacentral:rRNA from 1 species
GUACACACCGCCCGUCACACCAUGAGAGUUGGGAAUACCCGAAGCCUGUGAGCUAACUUUUAGAGGCAGCAGUCGAAGGUAGAAUCAAUGAUUGGGGUGAAGUCGUAACAAGGUACC